CUACACAAUCUGUACCCCUCAAUACCUACCGCCCAGUCAUGAGUAGAUCCCACCAUGUUUCUGUUAAGCUGACUAGGUCAUACUGGGUGCUAGCAAAUAAGAAUGUGAGCUCCUCCCGCUUAUUCCCCAUGCUCCUGGCAUUUGUAUAGACAUUUUUGU